rnacentral:rRNA from 1 species
AGCGUUGCUCGGAAUUACUGGGCGUAAAGGGAGCGUAGGCGGGUUAUCAAGUUGGGGAUGAAAGCCCGGGGCUCAACCUCGGAAUUGCCUUCAAAACUGAUAGCCUAGAGUAUGAUAGAGGUAUGUGGAACUCCGAGUGUAG